CAGUAGCCGCGGUAAUACCAGCAGCCCAAGUGGUGGUCGCGAUUAUUGGGCCUAAAGCGCUCGUAGCCGGGCCGGUAAGUCCCUUGUGAAAUCGGACGGCCUAACCGUUCGGCGUGCAAGGGAUACUGUCGGUCUUGAGGUCGGGAGACGUCCGAGGUACUCCGGGGGUAGCGGUGAAAUGUUCUGAUCCUCGGGGGACCACCGGUGGCGAAGGCGUUCGACGAGAACGGGCCUGACGGUGAGGGGCGAAGGCUAGGGGAGCAAACGGGAUUAGAUACCCCCGUAGCCCUGUCUCUUAUAC
rnacentral:rRNA from 1 species